CCUUCCUCUUGACACCUCCAGGCCUCCCGUCCUCCCGGGAGAUGGCAGCAGCAUCCCCGCCUGGGAAGGGCGAAAUCACUUCUUUGAGGCUUGGCUGCCACAGGGCGACCUGCUUCUCAAAAACCGUCUGGCGUUCGCCUUCCUUGACAACCCGGCUGCUACCCCCGACAUUUCGUCCUUCAUCGACGCCGCUCUUGGGUCUGCGUGUCCCGGCAUCCGCGUCGAACUCCUCCCAUCUUCUAGGGGGGUCAAACUCCUGCGGUUCGCCAACAACUCAGACCGGGAGCGGCUGCGGGCGCUCAGCCCCAUCAGUUUUGGGGGGUUGUCCCUCUCCCUGGAGCGCCCGGAGGAGACCUCUAACAGAUUCAUCCGCACUCCCGAGUGGUUGGCUCUGGUGGCCCUCACUGACUUCCCUCCGGAGCAGUGGUCGGACGCCUCUAUCCGUCGCUGCUUCACGGCGGGAGCUGAAGUUCUGGAGAUCAACCCGGACUGUCUGGAUGGGCACAAUUAUGGCCCCCUCCAGCUGGUCUUGCAAGUGAAUCACUAUCUUGACAUCCCCUACGAGAUUCUCGUCUCUGAACCCUGUGGCCUUUCCCGCGAAGGCAGCCUAGUUCAGGUGACGCCUCUCCGGAUCUGGCCCCGUUCGGAGCAACUGGAUACCGCAGGGCGCCUGAUCCCUUUCUUCCACCACCCCCACCACCUCCAGAUGCCUCGCGGCAGCAUGCCGGCUCGUCGUCCGCUUUGGGGGACCAGCCUCCUAAC
rnacentral:misc_RNA from 1 species